ACCGUUGCUUUGUUGAGCGACCUCUACUAAAAAUGGCGUGUCGUAAUUAGCCUACGCAUUGACAUUGUUCACCGUUUGUUUGCGAGUUCCUUUGGAAUAAAUUGUCAAUCAAUCCUGACAAUUAUUUCUUCAAUUGAAGGAUCGUAGUAUAAAUCAGGUUGGACCAAACUACUUCAAGACUGCGAAAAAAUGUGAAGUCGUUGGUGUUUGCUGUGAAGGUACAGAAAAACAGAUGUUUUACUUGGCGAAUGAGGGUGAAUCACCCGGGAAAGGCGCCAACACUGUUGUUAGCUAUGUGCAUUACUAGCUUCAUCACUAUGGCCUAGGGGAGGAAGAGGCAGUUUUCUACUUUGACAACUGCUGGACAAAAUAAGAACAACUGUGUACUUUGGUAUGCAUUGUGGAGAGUUAGUGUUGGGCUGCACACUCGAAUGAGAUACUCGAUGAUGGUGACUGCGGCCACAUCAAGUUCUAGCCUGAUUGGCAUUUUGGAUUAUGGAAGUCAAAGUACUUUGUGAUGCAGAGACCAUCGAGGCUGUUGCUGAGACUGUAUCCACCUCCUCACGAUCUGGACUUAAUGUGCCGCACAUAAUUGGUGAUUUGGAGAAGCCUGUGCACCUAUACGAUCGGAAAACAUUUCUUGCCCAGUUGUUCAUACCCUUGAAGAACAUUUGAAAGUACCAACAUUUCCUCAUUGAUGCAGCUACCUG